ACCGCCCGUCACACCACGGGAGUCGAUUGGUCCCGAAGUGCGUGAGCUAGCCCCUUGUGGGAGGCAGCGUCCUAAGGAAUGGUCGGUGACUGGGGUG
rnacentral:rRNA from 1 species